rnacentral:rRNA from 1 species
GGCGGACGGGUGAGUAACACGUUGGAACCUGCCCCGAAAGAGGGGGAUAACUACCCGAAAGGGUGGCUAAUACCCCAUAUACUCCGAUUUAUUCGGAGAAAGCUUUCGCGCUUCGGAGGGGGCCCUGCGCAACAUCAGCUAGUUGGUGAGGUAAAAGCUCUACCAAGGCGACGAUGUUUAGCUGGUUUGAGAGGAUGAUCAGCCACACUGGGACUGAGAUACGGCCCAGACUCCUACGGGAGGCAGCAGUAAGGAAUAUUCCACAAUGGGGGAAACCCUGAUGGAGCAAUACCGCGUGCAGGAAGACGCUUUUCGGAGUGUAAACUGCUUUUAUCUACCAAGAUUAUGACGGUAGUAGAUGAAUAAGGACCGGCUAACUACGUG